GUAGGGAAUCUUCCACAAUGGACGAAAGUCUGAUGGAGCAACGCCGCGCGAGUGAAGAAGGUCUUCGGAUCGUAAAACUCUGUUGUUAGAGAAGAACGUGCAUGAUAGUAACUGAUCAUGUAAUGACGGUAUCUAACCAGAAAGCCACGGCUAAAUACGUGCAAGCAGCCGCGGUAAUACGUAGGUGGCAAGCGUUGUCCGGAUUUAUUGGGGGUAAAGGGAACGCAGGGGGUUUUUUAAGUCUGAUGUGAAAGCCUUCGGCUUAACCGAAGAAUAGCAUUGGAAACUGGAAGACUUGAGUGCAGAAGAGGAGAGUGGAAUUCCAUGUGUAGCGUUGAAAUGCGUAGAUAUAUGGAGGAACACCAGUGGCGAAGGCGGCUUCCUGGCACAAUACUGACGCUCAUGUGCGAAAGCUAGGGCAGCGAACGGGAUUAGAUACCCCGGUAGUCC
rnacentral:rRNA from 1 species